CUCUUUGUAGUUUAGUGGUAGAGUACUGAUACGUAAAACCAGCGGCUCGGGUUCGAAUCUCGGCGAGGGAG
rnacentral:tRNA from 1 species